CGCUCUGGUGGCUUAGUGGUUAGAGCAUCCGCAUCCGAUGCAGGAGGUCAUGGGUUCGAUCCACGGCUGAGUUA